rnacentral:rRNA from 1 species
CCCGCUGAACUUAAGCAUAUCAAUAAGCGGAGGAAAAGAAACUAACAAGGAUUCCCCUAGUAACUGCGAGUGAAGCGGGAAAAGCUCAAAUUUAAAAUCUGGCGGUCUUGCGGCCGUCCGAGUUGUAAUCUGGAGAAGCGUUUAUCCGCGUCGGACCGUGUACAAGUCUUCUGGAAGGGAGCGUCGUAGAGGGUGAGAAUCCCGUCUUUGACACGGACAACCGGUGCUUUUGUGAUGCGCUCUCGAAGAGUCGAGUUGUUUGGGAAUGCAGCUCAAAAUGGGUGGUAAAUUCCAUCUAAAGCUAAAUAUUGGCGAGAGACCGAUAGCGAACAAGUACCGUGAGGGAAAGAUGAAAAGCACUUUGGAAAGAGAGUUAAACAGUACGUGAAAUUGUUGAAAGGGAAACGUUUGAAGUCAGUCGCGUCGGCCGAGACUCAACCUUGCUUCUGCUCGGUGCACUUCUCGGUUGACGGGUCAGCAUCAAUUUUGACCGCCGGAUAAAGGUCGGGGGAAUGUGGCAUCCUUCGGGAUGUGUUAUAGCCCUUGGUCACAUACAAUGGUUGGGAUUGAGGAACUCAGCACGCCGCAAGGCCGGGUUUUAAACCACGUACGUGCUUAGGAUGCUGGCAAUAUGGCUUUAAUCGACCCGUCUUGAAACACGG